GCUGGGUACGUGGCUAGCGGCGGCUGAGGCAGAUAGUUGUUUUAGGGUUUUAUUUUGAAAAUGUUUUAGGGCUAGGUAUGUGGGUCAAUGGUUUGGGCCUUAUUGGGCUGAUUGGUUAUUGUAAAUGGACUGCUAUUGGACUGUUGUUAAUUUUUUUGAUUUGGUUUAUAUAUUUGUGCUUCUGGGCCUGGGCAAAUUGGGUCUAUUACAAGGGGUAUUACAAUUAGAUUCAUUUGAAGGGAGUUGUUGAUUCAUCUGGUUUCCAAGGCUCCGUAGGAUUUUUACAUGCCACUUUCCAUCUUUUCCAUCUAUCUUGUUUCGUUUCUUUGCUGCUAUGUUUUGUUCUUGUUUAAUUGUUUCUAAUCUUUAAUUUGGAUUCGUUGUUCUUUUUUUUUUUUUAUCUUUUAGUACUUGUUUUAAUUAUUGCCUUUUUUUAAUUCUUAGAUCUGACUUGUAUUUGAUUGCGUUUCAGAUUGUGUCAAAAUACUUAAAAUACUUAAAAUUACAUCUAAAAUUUAGAAUAAAUAAAUAAUGAAAUACUAAGACCUAAUAAAUACAAUAUUUGAAUCAUAUAUAAUAAAAAUUAAGCUUGAAAAU
rnacentral:lncRNA from 1 species